CAACAUAAGCAAUACGAUCGACAAAUGCCACAUUGGUCAAAUAUUUUCCAAGUUUUGAAUGCAGAUUAGGUGUUUUUGGCAAACAAAUUUCUUUUUCCGUUUUUUUUUUUUU
rnacentral:ribozyme from 1 species